rnacentral:rRNA from 1 species
GACGUAGGGGGCGAGCGUUGUCCGGAUUCAUUGGGCGUAAAGAGCGCGUAGGCGGCCCGGAAAGUGGGGUGUGAAAACCCGAGGCUCAACCUCGGGCGUGCACUCCAAACUCCCGGGCUCGAGGCAGGUAGGGGAGAUCGGAAUUCCUGGUGUAGCGGUGAAAUGCGUAGAUAUCUGGAGGAACACCGGUGGCGAAGGCGGCGUCCUGGACCAACACUGACACUGAGGAGCGAAAGCCAGGGGAGCAAACGGG